rnacentral:rRNA from 1 species
UACGAAGGGGGCUAGCGUUGUUCGGAAUUACUGGGCGUAAAGGGCGCGUAGGCGGUGUGUCAAGUCAGGCGUGAAAUCCCUCGGCUCAACCAAGGAAGUGCAUCCAAAACUGCAGAGCUUGAGUACUUAAGAGGAUCGCGGAAUUCCCGGUGUAGAGGUGAAAUUCGUAGAUAUCGGGAGGAACACCAGUGGCGAAGGCGGCGAUCUGGGAAGAUACUGACGCUGAGGUGCGAAAGCGUGGGGAGCAAACAGG